rnacentral:rRNA from 1 species
UUAAAGGACAAAGAGGGAAAAGGUUCCAUGUGAACGGCACUUGGACAUGGGUUAGUCGAUCCUAAGGGUAAGGGGAACCCCGACAGAUAGCGCAUUUUGCGCGUACUCCGAAAGGGAAUUGGGUUAAAAUUUGUGAACCGGGACGUGGCAGUUAACGGCAAUGUAAGGAAGUCCGGAGACUUUGGCGGCUUCCUCGGGAAGAGAUAUAUUUUUUGUUUAACAACCUUCCCACCCUAGAAUCGGCUCAACCGGAGGUACGGUCCAGAGGCUAGAAGAUCACCGCACGUCGCGUGGUGUUCGAUGCGCUCUCGGCGGACCUUGAAAAUCCGGAGGACUGAAUGUCGUCCAUGCCCGGUCGUACUCAUAACCGCAUCAUGUCUCCAAGAUGAACAACCUCUGGUUGAUGGAACAAUGUAGGCAAGGGAAGUCGGCAAAAUUGGUGCACCGUCGAAUGACCUUGAUCUUCUAAGAAGGGUUCGAGUGUGAGCAUACCUGUCGGGACCCGAGAGAUGGUGAACUAUGCCUGAGCAAGGCGAAGCCAGAGGAAACUCUGGUGGAGGCCUACAGAGAUACUGACGUGCAAAUAGUUCGUCUGACUUGGGUAUAGGGGCGAAAGACUAAUCGAACUUUCUAGUAGCUGGUUCCCUCCGAAGUUUCCCUCAAGAUAGAUGGAGCUCGCGUGCAAGUUCUAUCGGGUAAAGCCAAUUAUUAUAGGCCUCGUGGGCGCAACGCCCUCAACCUAUUUUCAAACUUUAAAUAGGUAGGACGAUGCGGCUGCUUUGUUUGCCGUGACACGAAAUCAAGAGCUCUAAGUGGGACAUUUUUGGUCAGCAGAACUAGCAAUGCGAGAUGAACCAGAAGAUGGGUUACGGUGCCAAACUGCGCGCUAACCUAGAUCCCACAAAGGGUGUUUGUCGAUUAAGCCAGCACGACGGUUGUCAUGGAAGUCGAAAUCCGCUAAGGAGUAUGUAAAAACUCACCUACCGAAUCAACUAGCCCCGAAAAUKGAUGGCGCUUAAGCGCGCGAGCUACACCCGGCCGUCGGGGCAAGUGCCAGGCCCCGAUAAGUAAGAGGGCACUGCGGUCGCUGCAAAACCUUCAGCGGAGCAGCCGUCGAUGCAGAUCUUGGUGGUAGUAGAAAAUAUUCAAAUGAGAACAUUGAAGGCCAAAGAGGGGAAAGGUUCCAUGUGAACGGCUCUUGCACAUGGGUUCGUCGAUCCUAAGGGUCGGGGGAACCCCGAUAGAUAGCGCAUUUCACUCGUACUCUGAAUGGGAAUCGGGUUUAAAUUCUUGACCAGGACGUGGCGAUUGACGGCAACAUUAGAAAGUCUGGAGACGUCGGUGGGAGCCUAUGGAAGAGUUAUCUUUUCUUUUUAACAGCCUGCCCAGCCUGGAAUUGGCUCUGCCGAAGGUAGGGUCCAGCAGUUGGAAGAGCACCACACGUCGCGUGGUGUCCGGUGCGCUCCCGGUGACCAUUGAAAAUCCGGAGGACCGAAUGUCGUCUACGCCCGGUCGUACUCAUAACCGCAUCACAUCCCCAAGGUGAACAACCUCUUGUUGAUGGAACAAUGUAGGAAAGGGAAGUCGGAAAAAUGGAUCCGUAACUUUGGGAAAAGGAUUAGCUAUGCAGGCUGGGCACGGGGGUCCCAGCCCCGCACCCAUCAGCUGUCGGUGGACUGCUCGAGCUGCUCCCAUAGCGAGAGAGGGUCGUUGUGUGCCGGCUGGGGGACGGAUUGGGAACGGUUCCUUCGGGGUCCUUCCCUGGGCGUCGAACAGCCAACUCAAAACUGGUAGGGACAAGGGGAAUCUGACUGUUUAAUUAAAACAAAGCAUUGCGAUGGUCCCAAUGGACGUUUACGCAAUGUGAUUUCUGCCCUGUGCUCUGAAUGUCAAAGUGAAGAAAUUCAACCAAGCGCGGGUAAACGACGCGAGUAACUAUGACUCUCUUAAGGUAUCCAAAUGCCUUGUCAUCUAAUUAGUGAUGCGCAUGAAUGGAUUAAAGAGAUUCCCACCGUCCCUGUCUACUAUCCAGCGAAACAUCAGCCAAGGGAACGGGCUUGGCAAAAUCAGCGGGGAAAGAAGACCCUGUUGAGCUUGACUCUAGUCCGACUUUGUGAAAUGACUUGAGAGGUGUAGUAUAAGUGGGAGCCGAAAGGCGAAAGUGAAAUACCACUACUUUUAACGUUAUUUUACUUAUUCAGUGAUUCGGAAUGGGGGCACUUCCCCAUUUUUUGGACCCAAAGCUCGCUUUGCGGGCCGAUCCAGGCGAAAAACAUUGUCAAGUGGGGAGUUUUGCUGGGGCGGCACGUCUAUUGAAAUAUAACGCAGGUGUCCUAAUAUGAGCUCAACAAGAUAAGAAAUCUUGUGUGGAACAGAAGGUUAAAUGCUCAUUUCAUUCUUAUUUCCUGUACAAAUACGAACCGUGAAAGCGUGGCCUAACGAUCCUUUAAACCUUCAGAAUUCGUAGCUAGAGGUGUCAGAAAAGUUACCACAGGGAUAACUGGCUUGUGGCAACAAAGCGUUCAUAGCAACGUUGCUUUUUGAUCCUUCGAUGUCGGCUCUUCCUAUCAUUGUGAAGAAGAAUUCACCAAGUGUUGGAUUGUUCACCCACAAAUAGGGAAUGUGAGCUGGGUUUAGACCGUCGUGGGACAUGUUAGUUUUACCCUACUGAUGACAGUAUCGCAAUAGUAAUUCAACCUAGUACAAGAGGAACCGUUUAUUCACAUAAUUGGCCAUCACGCUUUGUUGAAAAGCCAGUGGCACGAAGCUACCGUGUGCAGGAUUAUGACUGAACACCUCUAAGUCAGAAUCUGGGCUAGAAGCGACGCAUGAGCCCGCCGUCCGCUUGCCAACCCGCAGUAGGGGCCUAUGGCCCCCAAGGCACGUGUCGUUGUCUAAGUCGCUGCGAAGGAAGCGUCGCGGUAACCGCCUUGAAGUACAAUAUACAUCAAGCGGCUGGUAGAAUCCUUU